GCAUAUCAAUAAGCGGAGGAAAAGAAACCAACAGGGAUUGCCCCAGUAACGGCGAGUGAAGCGGCAGCAGCUCAAAUUUGAAAUCGGGCUCUCUUUAGAGGUUCGAGUUGUAAUUUGCAGAGGAUGCUUUGGCGCUGGUGGCGGUCUAAGUUCCUUGGAACAGGACAUCGCAGAGGGUGAGAAUCCCGUAUGUGGGCGCCAGCCUUUGCCGUGUAAAGCUCCUUCAACGAGUCGAGUUGUUUGGGAAUGCAGCUCUAAGUGGGAGGUAAAUUUCUUCUAAAGCUAAAUACUGGCCAGAGACCGAUAGCGCACAAGUAGAGUGAUCGAAAGAUGAAAAGUACUUUGGAAAGAGAGUCAAAUAGCACGUGAAAUUGUUGAAAGGGAAGCGCUUAUAGCCAGACUUGUCUACGGUUGCUCACCUAGGCUUUGGCCUGGGGCACUCUUCUGUGGGCAGGCCAGCAUCGGUUUGGGCGGCUGGACAAAGGCCUCUAUCACGUAUCCUCCUCCGGGAUGACCUUAUAGGGGGGGCGCAAUGCAGCCAGCUCAGACUGAGGUCCGCGCAUCUGCUAGGAUGCUGGCGUAAUGGCUGUAAGCGGCCCGUCUUGAAACACGGACCAAGGAGUCUAACAUCUAUGCAAGUGUUUGGGUGCCAAGCCCGGGCGCGCAAUGAAAGUGAAUGGAGGUGGGAACCCUUUGGGUGCACCAUCGACCGAUCCUGAUGUCUUCGGAUGGAUUUGAGUAGGAGCAUAGCUGUUGGGACCCGAAAGAUGGUGAACUAUGCUUGAAUAGGGUGAAGCUAGAGGAAACUCUGGUGGAGGCUCGCAGCGGUUCUGACGUGCAAAUCGAUCGUCAAAUUUGGGCAUAGGGGCGAAAGACUAAU
rnacentral:rRNA from 1 species